CGUCUUGCGGUUUGGAGGCGGCUUUGUGCCUGCUCCAAUGCUCAGUAAGUUGAGCUAUAGUGUCGCCGGUGACAGCUAGGGUUCCCGCCGUGAGGGCUUGCUUCAGCGGGAACCGGAAACCGCCGGGCACGUUCACUGAAGUAUGUUGUGAUAUUGCGUGCGGGUGUUACCAGCUGGGCUCCCCGCGGUGGGGGCUUGCUUCAGCGGGAACCGGAAACCGCCGGGCACGUUCACUGAAGUAGGUGAAUUGGAGCCUCCACUCCGACAUGGUUUCCUUUUCUUGUUUCUGUUGUCCCAUCCCCAUCCCUUCAGCCCGCCAUUGCCAAGUCCCCAAAUAGCUUCCAUUUGACCGCCAAUGUUUCUGAGGCGCCAGCACGCCCAACACAAUAGUAUUAAAAUGAAGACUGCAAGUCCAAUGACCAAAAUGGGAAGUACGGUCAAAGUUGAGUGAAUCUCUUAGAACAAAAUAUCAAUAAUUUUUUAUUAAAAAUUAUUUUAUUUAUAUUUUCUCAUACUG
rnacentral:lncRNA from 1 species